AUUGAACGCUGGCGGCAUGCCUUACACAUGCAAGUCGAACGGCAGCACGGGAGCAAUCCUGGUGGCGAGUGGCGAACGGGUGAGUAAUAUAUCGGAACGUGCCCAGUCGUGGGGGAUAACGCAGCGAAAGCUGUGCUACUACCGCAUACGAUCUAAGGAUUAAAGCGGGGGAUCGCAAGACCUCGCGCCAUUGGAGCGGCCCAUAUCAGAUUAGCUAGUUGGUGGGGUAAAGGCCCACCAAGGCGACGAUCUGUAGCUGGUCGUAGAGGACGACCAGCCACACUGGAACUGAGACACGGUCCAGACUCCUACGGGAGGCAGCAGUGGGGGAUUUUGGACAAUGGGCGCAAGCCUGAUCCAGCAAUGCCGCGUGCAGGAUGAAGGCCUUCGGGUUGUAAACUGCUUUUGUACGGAACGAAACGGCCCUUUCUAAUACAGGGGGCUAAUGACGGUACCGUAAGAAUAAGCACCGGCUAACUACGUGCCAGCAGCCGCCGUAA
rnacentral:rRNA from 1 species